ensembl:lncRNA
CUGGCUUGCUUAGAAGACUGGAACGAGGUGACUCAUUCAAACAGAGACCAGCGCGGAGGCUGGGAGCCGCACACCCAGUGAUGUUUACAUAGCCACUGCCCUGGCACGGAGCACGGGGCCUGGGUAGCUUGGAAGUGGGUGGGAAAGGCUGAGGCUGGUGUUUUAGAGGGCAGUGAUGCCAACAAGGCAGAGGCUGAUGGGGAUCUGGAGGAGAGACCCAGGGUGAAACCACACUCCGCUCAUCUGAAAGCUGUGCUCGGGCAGUGAGAUUUCUUAGGCGUGGUGGAUUCUUCUGGUCUCUUCUCCAUAGAUACAAAAAUCAGAGGCUCAGAGAGGUUGAGUGACAUGCCUGAUGUCACACAGUAGAUUCCGGAGGAGCGGAGAUCCAUAGUCAAUUGUGCCUGAUUUCAACACAGGUGGCCCCAGCCUCUCCACACCCUUCAUCCAAGUCAACCGUGCUGGGUGGCCAAACAUCUAAGGGUCAAAUCCACCCACCCACAGUAACCAGCCGUCAUUUUUCCAAAUCUCUGACCUGGAUUAAAAGGAACUCUCUCAAUUCAAUUGAAAGGUGCAACCAGUGGUGGAAGCUGGUUUAGGCCAAACCUGAAACAGGACAUCAUCUUAAUCCUACGGGCCUCUGUUAUGAGCCACUCCAAUCCUCUCACUGUCUCAGAGCAUCUGUCUGAACUUCAGAGCAUCAGAAACAUUCCCACAAGGAAUAACAGUCCAAGGACAACAGAAACCCUGCCUGGCAGUGACUGUCUCUGUAGACCAGGUACACUUCGUUGCUGGAUUUGAGCAAGUUGACAUCCCAAGUGGCGUCAGUGGUAAAGAACCCGCCUUCCAAUGCAGGAGACAUAAGAGACGCAGGUUCAAUUCCCCGAGUUGGGAAGAUCCCCUGGAGGAGGGCAUGGCAACCCACUCCAGUGUUUUUGCCUGGAGAAUUCUAUGGACAGAGGAGCCUAGUGGGCUACGGUCCAUAGGGUUGCAAAGAGUCUGACACGACUAAAGCUACUUAGCUGAAGAAGGCACUGCAGGACCCUCAUAGUUAGGACAGUUUUCUGGUGAACUUUCCAACAGUAUUUUUAAAAAUUUAUUUAUUUUUAAUUGAAAGAUUACUUUGCAAUAUUAUGUUGGUUUCUGCCAUAUAUCAACAUGAAUCAGCCAGAGGUAUACCUAUGUCCCCUCCCUCUUGAACCUCCCUCCCACCCCUCUAGGUUAUCACAGAGGCCCAGUUUAAGUUCCCUGAGUCACACAGCAAAUUUCCUGGCUCUCUAUUUCACAUAUGGUAGUGUAUAUUCCCAACCCACUCCAGUGUUCUUGCUUAGAGAAUCCUGUGGACGGAGGAGUCUGGUGGGCUGCUGUCUAUGGGGGUCGCACAGAGUCGGACACGACUGAAGCGACUUAGCAGCAGCAGCAGCAGUGUAUAUUUCAACAGUAUUUUACAGGGUCUUUGCUGUCAACCAGUGGAACAGGCAGUCAGCAGCCUGACACUGAAGAUGAUUUUUACUUGUUUUUACUGUGUUCUGUCUGGAAAAGAUUCUGGUGAAAAUGUCAGAUCCUCCGUAGAUGCUAAAUGUACAACGCUGACUCUGGCAGGUGGAGGGGAGCUGAGUCACCUCACCGGGUGUUUGUUUUGGUGGCCCCUGAUUGGCUGCUGCGCCUGGGGCCCCGCCCACAGGGAGUGAUGCUGCGUGAGGUGAUGGUUCAUAGCACGGAGAUCAGGUCUCUAGGACAAAUCGGAUCUUUGCAGGUGAGCUCCCUAAGUAGGUGAACCUAAGGGCCAGCCAGAGGAGAUCUUGUGCUGGCCAAAUCACUGUUUCGUUCUUCAGUUUCCUCACUUCUAACAUGUAAAAACAACAACACCACCACCACCAGGAUCCUGGAAGUAUUCUGAAAUCAGAUGAAAUUUAGAUGGAUAAAGUUUGUGAGUGUGUUGUUAGCUGUAAAAAGCCGAUUUCUAGGGAAGGGCUGAUGAAGAGCGAUUGCAGUUUGUACACAAAGUGAAUUUUCUUUUUAAUUUAAAAUUGCUAUGCUGUCACUUCAGUCGUGUCCGACUCUUGUGCGACCCCAUAGAUGGCAGCCCACCAGGCUCCUCCGUCCCUGGGAUUCUCCAGGCAAGAACACUGGAGUGAGUUGCCAUUUCCUUCUCCAAUGCGUGAAAGUGAAAAGUGAAAGUGAAGUUGCUCAGUCGUGUCAGACUCUUAGCGACCCCAUGGAUUGCAGCCCAACAGGCUCCUCCAUCCAUGGGAUUUUCCAAGCAAGAGUACUGGAGUGGGGUGCCAUUGCCUUCUCCGAAUUUAAGAUUAAUGCUUGUUUAAUGACAAUAUCAUAUUGCCACGUUUGAAGACACUGUUUUGGAAGAAGACAUCUGGGCAUUCAAAUCCAGAGAAAAUCAAAACCAGAACAUCCCAACAUAGCGCUUCAAGGAAACAAAACUUCCAUGAACUUGACACUGAGGACUGAACUUCUGAAGCUGAUGUUAGACUGUAUCCUAAAUGACUCUCAUUAACAACGCUCUCACCAUCAUAGUUACCAGAAAGGUCAUUUAUAUGAUACAUUUAAGUUUGAGAUACAACCACCAUCCCACUGCCAACCCCCAUGUAAUGAACUAGAUUCCAGUCCCUGUUAAUCAUUUGUGUAGGGUGUAUAUUUGGAUGUGAUGUAUCUGCAAUUAGGCUUAAUUAAAACCACCCACUUCGGGCAUGCUGAAAGACCAGCAUUUAAAAAUAGGAGCUGAAUAAUCAGGGUCGUUAAUAGGAACUGAUUAUUUAGUUUAUGAGAGCUUAAACGUAAAUAGGGAUCAGCAGCCUUCUCAUUUCUGAUGGAAGCAGAGGGCAGACCAAAGCUACUUGGGAGGGAAUCCCUCGUGAUACGCUCAGGGGUCUUUCUUGUCCUGCAUUUUGCUCCACAGCGUCUUCAUCAGGCUGUGGAAAGUCGAUGCACGCUGUGAAGUUAGAGGAAAAUCCCUCUUCCUGGGGAGGAAGGAGGUCAACCAGGUGGGGGCUGGAGUCAGGUUCCUUGACCCUGGAUGGAGCCCUCGAGCUGGGUCUGCGCUGCACCGCUCCAGGUGGCAGCCCUCACCCCUGCAGAGGCCUCGAGGAACGAAUUCUCCGGAGUCUCUGGUACUGCGGUUCCGGCGUGGAUGUCUCCAAGGCUGCUGUGAACCUAUGGAUGAAACUCCUAGCUCACCCACAGUCUAUUACUCCCUGCCCUAAAGUAAACAGUUUAUGUACGCGAUGCUGCAGCUGUCUGAGACAUGCACAUUCUUUUGCCUCCUGGUGGGCACUGGGAGCUUCACGUGGCUUACUAAGACAAUGGGGACUUGGAAAGUGGAUGUGAGGCAAGGAGAUACUCAGCCUGUACCAG